rnacentral:rRNA from 1 species
ACAGCGGAGAGUUUGAUCCUGGCUCAGGAUGAACGCUAGCUACAGGCUUAACACAUGCAAGUCGAACGGCAGCGGGGGGAGGAGCUUGCUCCUUCCUGCCGGCGAGUGGCGCACGGGUGAGUAACACGUAUGCAACCUGCCCCUGUCAGGGGGACAACCUCCCGAAAGGGAGGCUAAUCCCGCGUACAUCCCCCGGGGGCAUCCCCGGGGGAGGAAAGGUUUUUCCGGACAGGGAUGGGCAUGCGCCGCAUUAGGCAGACGGCGGGGUAACGGCCCACCGUGCCGACGAUGCGUAGGGGUUCUGAGAGGAAGGCCCCCCACACUGGUACUGAGACACGGACCAGACUCCUACGGGAGGCAGCAGUGAGGAAUAUUGGUCAAUGGGAGAGAUCCUGAACCAGCCAAGCAGCGUGGAGGAAGAAGGCCCUACGGGUCGUAAACUCCUUUUGCCGGGGGACAAUGAUCACCAUGCGUGGUGAGGUGAGUGUACCCGGAGAAAAAGCAUCGGCUAACUCCGUGCCAGCAGCCGCGGUAAUACGGAGGAUGCGAGCGUUAUCCGGAUU